rnacentral:rRNA from 1 species
AACGAACGCUGGCGGCAUGCCUAACACAUGCAAGUCGAACGAGACCUUCGGGUCUAGUGGCGCACGGGUGCGUAACGCGUGGGAAUCUGCCCAAAGGUUCGGAAUAACUCAGGGAAACUU